UCUUGGUUCUGGCAUCGAUGAAGAACGCAGCGAAAUGCGAUACGUAGUGUGAAUUGCAGAAUUCAGUGAAUCAUCGAAUCUUUGAACGCACAUUGCGCCCUUUGGUAUUCCAAAGGGCAUGCCUGUUCGAGCGUCAUUUGUACCUUCAAGCUUUGCU
rnacentral:rRNA from 1 species